CCCGGACCGUGUAGAGUAGAGAGAGGGAGAGGGGAAGAAGAGGUGGUCGCAGGCGGCGGUGCCGGUCCGGCCGUACCACCACGCGGUUGGUCGUGGCGGAGGUAGGUAGUGGGUCGCGGUGGUGAUGAGGAGGAUGGAGGUCACGGAUGUAGGUGGUGUGGUCGGCGAGGGAGUGCGCGGCGUGGUCUGUGAGGCCGCGCUCACAGACCAGUGGGCGCACUCACACGAUGGGUUGAGGAAGCGGAGCCUAGGUAGAGCGUCUGGUGGUCACACGGUGGUGGUAGCGGUUGGGGGAGAAGGAAGAAAACGAGAGACGGACGACGACGAAGAAGAAGGGUGCGGGGACGACGACGAACGAGAGAGUUAGAGACGAUGAUGAAGAGGAAGGGAGGCGACGACGACGAAGAGGAAGAAGAAGUUGGAUGACGACGAGCGGGAGUUGGGAGAGACGACGAAGAGAGUGGGCCUACGGUGACGACGAUGGACAAGGAUUCGAGCGGACGACGACGACAAGAAGAAGAAUAGAGGUUCAGUGACGACGAGGAGGGGUGCGGGUUCGACGACGAGGAGAGAGAACGUAGUGGAUAACGACAAGAAGAAGAAGAGGAUUGGACGACAAGAAGAAGAAGAAGAGGAUAGGAACGACGACAAGAAAAGACUUGGUAGAACGAUGACAAUAAGGGAGAGAGACUAGAGUUUAAAGACAUUAAAACUCUUCAAAUAACAAGUCAUGAAACAUUAUAAGUCGUAACUCUACAAAUCAUGUUCAUUAUAAGUUUAAACUAUUUUCGAACGUUGGACCGUUAACAAGUCAAAGCAUGAACAUUUUAUAUCACGUAAAAUAAUACACGAGACUGAUCAAUUACAGGUCAACAAACCUAUUAUGAAUCAUACACACUAUACGAGAUACUAUAUCAUUAGAAGAUCAUAUACACACACUAGGGGAUACACAUACAAAGAACUGUAGAUGACAUUAGACAGACAUGAUCAUUGAAACGAUAUCAGAUUAACUACAAGUCAACAAUCAGAGACACGAUCGAUACAUGGUCACCGUAAAUACGAACACUAAAAGGUCACUUGAACAAAUUAAAGUCAAGUAUACAAUCGAGUUCAUGGAAACGAUAUAUUUAUAUACACACACACGAACACUAAAUUUAUUAGACAAAAGACAGGUCAUUAAAACAAAGAAGGGAGAAAGUAUGCGAACGAUCUAUAUAUACAGGUACAGAAAACUGAAGGGAACAGUGACUACAAUCGGAAAGUCAAAGAUUUUAUUAUACUUUUAUGGUUUUUCUGUUUCACUUCUAUUAGAAGUAGAGGGAAACAAAGACACAAUAAAGAAAACAACUAUAGGAACAAUCACAAGCCAAAUAAAAGAUAAAUGUAGUGAAUUAUAACACAAUGGAUCUAAAUCGGCUCGUAUCAGCGGCAGCGGAUCAGGGAUACCCCUUGUGCUGUGAGCGUCAAGCCCGUUUUAUAGGGCGACAUGAAAGUUAGCUAGUAAAACCGCGGCAACGGCCCCUGAUCGCAGCUCGCAAACACACUUCGAUAUCUGAUCCGAACCAUAUCAAGAACAAAUUUAAAGGUCAGUUUAAAUAAAGACACAAAGAAAAUGGAAAAAUGAAAAACAACGAAGCCGAAUAAUCCUAUGAUUGGGAGAGUGGUCACGAACUACAAACACUCGCACACAUGCUAUAGUAUGAUAAACAUCCGACUAACUGUCAACGUGAACUUGUAUACCGAAAUCAUGCACUAGAAACCAACGGUUCAUCAAACCUGUGUUACUGUCCCGGCUAAACCGGUAGAUAACUCCGGCUUUUAAACUCAACUCCGGACCUGAAUAACGAGAACAGAACGUCUUAGUCGAAUCUCCUAAUGGGUUACUUCUGGGAGUACUCGUGUAACAUUACAGGACCUCAUACGGUUAUGUCAGGUCAUGGUACCACAAAGGGUUCUAUGAUAGUUCCCAUACAACAAGUGUAAGAGAGAGUCUCUACGACGAUUCCUGACCAUGAUAAGAAACGGUAGUUCUAGUAUGUGAACCCUACUAUAAAGCGUUCGAAAGGACGUGUCUAUAAAAGGUGAAAUGUUCGUUCUACGUUAAGCACUGGUCUAGGAGUCAAAACGCGUUCUACCUUCACUCUUGAACAUACGUCGAACCCUCUCUACAUUCAUAAACGAAUCUUUUACAGGAUUAGUGCCCGUUUUCCUAACCAAUCACGAGGUCUAUAAGAUAUCUCCCGACUGUGUACGAAGUUCUCUAGAAUAACUAUACAGUCGACCACCUUGUUAAUACUUGUUCUGGCAACUCCUACGUUAAUAAGAGUAACUCUCGUAACCGAAGGUGGUUUACGUUACCCCAAUACUUUCCGGAUCAAGUUUAGGCUUCCAACGUUCGGCAGACGUUAGUCUUCGACACACAAGGUAUUCACUUGUCUUUAGUAGGUACCACGGAUUAUAAGUUUUGGUCGUACAAAGUAAGGCCCCUGUUGUUGUAAAGUCUUGACUUAAUCUAGGAGGUAUAUCUUUCUAACUAGAAUGAAGUUAAUAGGAACUACUACUAAUACUAUAAAAAGUUCUACUACGUUGGUAACAUCUAGUCUACCUUUGGUAUCAUCGUCUAGGUUAUGGAGUACCGUUACUUUGACAGGUUUUACUCAGUUUCAACGUUCUACAAAUACUCCUUGGAUGAGACUAACUACGAUUCAACUCUGUUGUUCUAUACCUCUUUAAGUGAACACAAUCAGUUGAUACACUGACCACCUUAAAUCAGCACAGUGGUUAACGGGUGUGAACACAAUGUUGACAUAGACCCGAUAAACAGUUCUUCUUUAGUAAUCGAGGUGGCCACCAACGGAGAUAGUGUCAAUUUCUCUCAUAGAGUCUCUUCUUAUCACUUCUACUCUAAGGUUGAGGACGUGUAUGUUGAUUCGUUCAGCCUCUGUAAGGUUCCUCUCUCUAUGUUCUCCUACUCAGUUUAAAUCUUCUCAACUAUGAAGUUACAGGACUCUUCUAGGGUGCACAACGACUCGACGUACUGACCACCUUCAGUAGUCACAGUGACAACUUUGAAUCGUCACUACCACUACUCCUCUUGUAACGAGUCUUUCUGUCGCUCCAUCACUAGAGUCGUGGGGAUGGUCUUGUACAAUCACGUAUAAGUGUCUACCCCUGUGAAGUCUGAGUUAAUCCACAACGACCAUCAUCGUGGUAUCUUAUAGGUGUCCUUCUCUCUGGAGUUGAACUUCUUCUAAAUGUUCAUCUGCUCCUUGUUCUACUGCUUCUCGAACUGAUGGGUUCGCUACUUCAACUUCUGUAUUAGAGAUAGAGAGGAUUUCUUCAUGUUCUUCGACGACAUCUACUUGAACUUCUUGGUCUUUACGUAAACGGGUAGCAGUAUGUUCUCGCACUACAUCGUCCAAAUAGAUUAGGAGAGCUGCUGUACACAGGAAUGCUAAAGAAACGAAGAUGGAAGGUAAUGUACUAUGGUAGUGAAUUCGAUCUGAACUUUUUGCCAAACGAACCUGUACUAGUAUGUAUGGGACAAUAACCGUAAAGAGAGUAAAUACUACUGUGAAUAAGAGGAGUACGAUCUGGAUACGAAUUACUAUUUAUAGUAGGAAUACGAUCGUAACUCGAAUGACUAAAGAUGGUAGGAUUUGUACACGAAAUAUCGAUACGAAUACAUUAACCUAUAAGCUAACUACUGAACCUCCCAUAAUAGGGAUGGUGGACGUAACAGAGAAAACAACUCUCAAGAAAGUCCAAAAACGAACACGUGCUAGGUGAUGUCCGACUGUUCCAAGCUCCACUGUAAGGAACCCUGGGACCACCUGAGUCUCGUACCACUGCUCCUCUUCGUUCCCCGUGUGUGUUUCUUCUCACUUGGACCUCGUAGGUACUCCUUCGUUUCCACUUCUCGACGUCAACCACUCUACUAGCUCGAUCACGAUGUAGUAAACUUCUCGGGCCGCUCGACAAAGUACUGGGUAAGACUUAUAGUAUUUAUGUACGACUUAAGAUAACGAUCAACCCGACGAACUUGGUCAAUAAUGAACAACAGUUCGACUUUAAGUGGAAACCGUAACACGAACUACACUUAUACACUUGACUCACAACUUACGGAACAUUUGAUCACUAGAUGUAUAACGAACGAAACGACUUUAAUCACUUUCAAUAAUCAAAACUCACUAGUUUACAUUGCGGGGCUCUGGCUGCGAAGUCUGCGGAAGGUAUAUAAAGCACUAGCAGC
rnacentral:rRNA from 1 species